rnacentral:rRNA from 1 species
CGUAACACGUAUGUAACCUACCUUUACCAGGGGGAUAGCCUCUCGAAAGAGAGAUUAAGCCCGCAUAACAUGGAGACACAGCAUUGUGAUUUCAUCAAAUAUUUAUAGGGUAAAGAUGGGCAUGCGGAACAUUAGCUAGUUGGUAAGGUAAUGGCUUACCAAGGCUACGAUGUUUAGGGGAUCUGAGAGGAUGACCCCCCACACUGGUACUGAGACACGGACCAG